GAAAUUGAGAUUAAGAAAAAAUUGGAUUCAUAGAAUAUUUUAUUGGCUCUGAUGUAUUUCUAUUAUAAUUGUUUCGUAACUUUACAUUCUUCAGAAGAAAUUUAGAUUCAAGGCAGUGAAUCGUUGCAUAAUUCACUGAUUAGCGCAGAUUUCAAGUAAAGCCUUCGAACAAUUCCAAUUCUUUGUUGUCGAUCGGCGGGUUCAAAUUUCCCGCCGGACGCCGCGCCACCGAGUACGCCCACGUGCCACGGGAUGGCGCUAGUCGCGGGCACAUCCGCAGAAUCAAAAAAGACAGUUGGGAAGUGUAACAUCACACAUCGAUUCGGCGGCCUCGCGCGCGUCGAGCCCGAAAUAAAAAGAAAACUUUCCUCUUCCGCGUUCCUUGGGACCUGGCCGUGUGCGGUCGCGACGAGGUCGCGCAGCCCCGACGUCUAAACGUUGACACGCGUGUGGUGCGGUGAGUACAAAGUGUCGACUCCGGAGGACGAGCGGUAUAGCGCGCUGCGCCGAUGGAAACGUGACUGUUCCCUCACGGGUAGUGUGCAGUGGUUCCUGUCAUCACGGGUAGCGGCGACGGCGGCAGCAGCAGCAGCAGCAGCCCUCUCGGUCUCAACCCCCGUUCUUCCGAGAGCCACGUCGCCGACACCGCCGAGGGAGGGAAACUCGGCGCGCCGAUAACGACCACGGCGGAGGUCACUGCAUUGCGACUAGCAACUACGCUGUGGCGACUACGGUGAGAUACCGACGACGAGGACACCGACGUGGAAGACGAAAACGGCGCGGUCGCGGCGGGGGGUAGUGGGAGUUGGAAAAAAAAAAAAUCGGCGCUUGCUCGGUGUCUCACCCCACGGAGAGAGAGAUCCACUACCCCUAUAUCUCUACCCCCGUUCUCUAUACGCGUACCGUGCCCCGUGGAGAGAGUCUCACCGCCACAUCCACGUGCGUGCACGUACGUCGCGCGUGUAUCGUCGCCGGUCACGCGUAAUCACGCAUACGGAAACGCAGGCUCCACCGAGGAGGGUAGUGACAGAGAGUGAGGAACGCUACGCGCCUGCGCCCGCGGUAGUGCGGAGAGCAGCGCGGUGGCGCGCGCCGCUUGAUGGGGGAGAUCAGUGAGGAGGGCGCCACUUGGUGGGGAGCGCGCGUCACCUGCCGCGACAUCAGUGUGACGGCGAGCGUCAGUGGACGCGGACGGUUGGUACGACGCGCGCGCGCGAGAUCGUAGGUAUAGUUUCUCUCCGAGAUCUAGAGAAAGCGGGAGAAAGGGAGAGCGCGAGAGAGAGAGAGAGGAAAAGGUGUAAAAGUACACACACGUUCGCGCGUGGACGCUUGACCGCGUGAAUCACCGCGCGCGAGUGUUGGCUCCUCGUUUUUUUUUUUUUUUUGGUGGUGGUUUUGUUGACACUCCAGACGGGCCGUGCGCCGCGCGCUACGUGCCCCCACCCUCGCACGCGUCCAGGGUGAAUGUGCCGCUACUUGGCCGCCGCUACGUCGGGGCGGCCGACCGUCCUCCUCGGUGAGACAUGCGUGCGGCGGGCCGCCGGUGGACGACCGCGGAUGCAACGACCGCAACGACGACGGGGAACGACGUGGUCGUGUCGCACGUGACUGCCGCCGUCGCGGCAUCGGCAUCGUCCUCCUCCCGGCAUCACCCGGGUGCGCAGUGAGUGUAUAUUCGACAGGAGAAAGUAACGCGUGUGUGCGCGCGCGCGCGCGCGCGCCUCUCGCGAGUUAACCUCGGCGCCGGGCGUUGUCGUCGCCGCCGCCGCCGCCGCCGUCGUCGUCGUCGUCGUCGUCGUCGCUGCUCCAACGCGCGCGUGGAGCGCAGCAAGUGUGACCGGUGAUCGCGCGUAGUACGUACGCGCAGCGCAUUUCCUUCCGUUCCGUUCCGUUCCGUUCCGUUCCGUUUUGUUCUCGCGUGGUGUGCCACCGCGGUUUUCCACGGUAGUUUUUGGUGCUCUCUCUCUCUCUCGGAGGAGACUGCGAGCCCUGGCACGUCGUCGUCGUCGUCGUCGUCGUCGUCGCUGCGACAUCAUCGUGAGAAGAUGAGGCUCCGCGUCGCCUCCAGGAUGCAACCUGGUGGAUUGCUGUUCUGCUGGUGCGUCAUGACGGUCACCCUCGCCCUGGCCGCUUGGCAGGAGAACGUCAGGCCGAAGAUGUACGUCCAGCUAGGUGCGGAGGAUGUGUUCAGGUUUACGGGAAACGAGACGCACACAGACUACUUUCGGCUGGUGCUCAGGGACGGGAACUAUCUUCUAGUCGGCGGAAGAAACCUCGUGCAUAAUCUCAGUCUGACCGACCUGACGGAGCAGCAGAGGUUGACCUGGUACUCGACGGAGAACGACGUGAAGAUGUGCGUCGUCAAGGGCACCCCCGAGGAGAACUGCCAGAACUACAUUCGCAUCCUGGUGAAGACCGGGUCGAACAACCUCUUCGUGUGCGCCACCAACGCCUUCAAGCCCAUGUGCCGUGAUUACACGGUGCACGCGGGCAACUACACGAUCGUGAAGGAGAAGGGCGGCCAGGCGAGGUGCCCGUACGACCCGCAGCACAACAGCACCUUCGUUUACGUCGACGGUGAACUCUACACCGGCACGGUCGCCGAUUUCGCGGGCAUGGACCCGAUAAUCUACAGGGAGCCGCUGCAGACCGAGCAGUACGACUCGAUGAGUCUGAACGCACCGAACUUCGUGAGCUCCAUGUCCCAGGGAGACUUCGUCUACUUCUUCUUCAGGGAGACCGCUGUAGAAUAUAUCAAUUGCGGCAAGGCCGUCUACUCUCGCGUGGCGCGAGUCUGUAAAUACGACCGGGGCGGACCGCAUCGUUUCCGUAACAGGUGGACGUCCUUCUUGAAGUCGCGUCUCAAUUGCUCCGUCACCGGAGACUUCCCAUUCUACUUUAACGAGAUACAGUCAACGACCGAGCUGAUAUCGGGUCAAUACGGCGGCACAUCUGCCCAGCUCAUCUAUGGCACCUUCACGACGCCGGUGAACAGCAUAAGCGGCUCGGCGGUGUGCGCGUUCUCGUUGCAGGACAUCGCCGAUACCUUCGCCGGCAAUUUCAAGGAGCAAAGCGCCCUGAACUCCAACUGGCUGCCGGUGCAGGACACGAAGGUGCCGGACCCACGGCCAGGCCAAUGCACCAACGACUCGCGCACACUGCCGGACCUGACGCUCAACUUUAUUAACACGCACUCGCUGAUGGACGAGUCGGUGCCGAGCUUUUUCGGCCAGCCGAUCGUUAUACGCACCAGUUUCCAUUACAGAUUCACUCAGAUCGCCGUGGAUCCUCAAGUGAAGACUCCGGGCGGCAAGACCUAUGACGUCCUUUUCAUCGGCACGGACAACGGCAAGGUGAUCAAGGCGGUGAACGCCGAGUCUGCUGAUUCCCAUCAGAAAGUCAGUCCCGUCGUGAUCGAAGAGAUACAGGCAUUUCCACCAACAGUGCCAGUGCGCGGCAUCAAGGUUGUCCGAGCCUCGCAGGCGGGCGACGGCCUCGAGGAUGGUCGACUGGUUGUCAUCGCCGACAGUCAGGUGCAGGCGCUGAGACUCCAUCGCUGUUACAGCGAUAGGAUACUAUCGUGCAGCGAGUGCGUGGCCCUGCAAGAUCCGUACUGCGCCUGGGACAAGGUGGAGAACAAGUGCCGGGCGUUGGUCGGCCCGGCGGCGACGGACGCCAGCAGGUUUCUGCAGAGUGUCGCAACCGGCGUUCAUGCGUCCUGUCCGGCGAGCAAGAGCCUUAAUAAGGACGCCGGCAGCGUCGGCGCUAUUUCCGCCAAUCAAAACAAGUUUCCGCAGGACUCUCUCCCGAAUAAGGACAACCCCGGCGGCGAAAUUAUCAAUAUCAUGCAGGACGAAGAACAGAACAACUCAGGUCCGGCAGUAGCCGCGGCUGAUACGCCUACACCACAGUAUUCGGUGGAGACCCUGGUGAUGGCUGUGGUAGCUGGUGCACUAGCCGCAUUGUUUGUUGGCUUUGUAGCCGGUUACUUAUGCGGCAGGAAGUGCAGGAAAGACGAGGACGACAAUCUACCUUAUCCCGACACGGAGUACGAAUAUUUCGAGCAACGCCAAAAUGUGAACAGUAAUGUCUGCUUAUCCACAUUCAGCAGGCUGGCGCCCGAGCCAAAACUGCUACCGCAGGAGGAGGUGACCUAUGCGGAGCCGGUGUUGGUUCCGCAACCACCGAAGCUCCAGUCCCCGAAGGGUACCAUGAGGAAACCACCGCCAACGCCCACGGAGACCCUCUUUCAGUUCCCGGACGGCUACGGUUUCCGCGGAGGUGCCCGCGGCGACAACUUCGGCACCCUUCGCUCCCAUCAGGGCGAUGCGUAUCGCCGCAACGAUGGCUUUGCGACCACACGCAGCGUCAAGAAAGUUUAUCUCUGAGAAACGAGCGAGGAGGGGGGUGGCCGUCACCGGAGCUUAGGACGGCCAGCGCGCAAUCGCCACAACGCGACGUCGGCCAGCAGGAGUAGUCGCGCUGUGACGUCUGGGGGACAGUCAAAUCGUAUUGCUGUUUCCUACGGCGACGGCGAUAACGACAAUAUAACAUAAGACCAACGACAAGCACCAUAUACCCUGCGGCUGCACUGAGAGUGAUCGUUACAGUCUUGGUCAUCAUUGUACCAUCAUCAGUGGCCUCUAGAUCCAUAUCUGCUCUAUAAUUAUCUCCAGCUGAAAUAAUAAUUAUUCUAUUAUCA
rnacentral:misc_RNA from 1 species